rnacentral:tRNA from 1 species
CGGUUGUGGGUGCCGCCGGAGCGCCGGUGGCCUGGUGUGCCGCGGUCGUCGUCGUGUGGCUUCCGGCUGUUCCGCCGGUUGUGGCCGUC